rnacentral:rRNA from 1 species
UACAGAGGUCCCAAGCGUUGUUCGGAUUCACUGGGCGUAAAGGGUGCGUAGGCGGUAGGGUAAGUUUGAUGUGAAAUCUCCGGGCUUAACCCGGAAACUGCAUUGAAUACUAUCUGGCUAGAGGGUUGGAGGGGGGACUGGAAUACUUGGUGUAGCAGUGAAAUGCGUAGAUAUCAAGUGGAACACCAGUGGCGAAGGCGAGUCCCUGGACAACUCCUGACACUGAGGCACGAAAGCUAGGGGAGCAAACAGG